GAUGAACGCUAGCGACAGGCCUAACACAUGCAAGUCGAGGGGCAGCACAAGGAGCAAUCUGAGGUGGCGACCGGCGCACGGGUGAGUAACACGUAUGCAACCUGCCUGUAAGCGGGGGAUAACCCGUUGAAAGACGGACUAAUACCGCAUAAUACUGGAGAUCUGCAUGGAUAUUCAGUUAAACAUUUAUGGCUUACAGAUGGGCAUGCGCAUGAUUAGAUAGUUGGAGAGGUAACGGCUCCCCAAGUCAACGAUCAUUAGGGGUUCUGAGAGGAAGGUCCCCCACACUGGUACUGAGACACGGACCAGACUCCUACGGGAGGCAGCAGUGAGGAAUAUUGGUCAAUGGGCGAGAGCCUGAACCAGCCAAGUCGCGUGCAGGAAGAAUAGUCCUAUGGAUUGUAAACUGCUUUUGUCGAGGGAAGUAAAUGAGCCACGUGUGGUUUUUGUUAUGUACUCUGCGAAUAAGG
rnacentral:rRNA from 1 species